rnacentral:rRNA from 1 species
UCGAGAAUCUUCCACCAAUGCGCGAAAGCGUGAUGGAGCGACGUCGCGUGUGUGAUGAAGGCCCUAGGGUUGUAAAGCACUGUCAGGAAGUUCUAAACCCUCACGGUUAAUACCCGUUGAGGCUGAAGGGCUACCAGAGGAAGCACCGGCUAAAUCCGUGCCAGCAGCCGCGGUAAUACGGAUGGUGCAAGCGUUAUUCGGAAUCACUGGGCAUAAAGAGCACGUAGGCGGCUACGUAAGUCAGUGGUGAAAUCCCUCGGCUUAACCGAGGAACUGCCAUUGAUACUGCGUGGCUAGAGUGCGGGAGGGGCAGACGGAAUUCCAGGUGGAGCGGUGAAAUGCGUAGAUAUCUGGAGGAACGCCAGAGGCGAAAGCGGUCUGCUGGCCCGAAACUGACGCUGAGGUGCGAAAGCUAGGGGAGCAAACAGGAUUAGAUACCCCCGUAGUCC